rnacentral:tRNA from 1 species
AACCUGGUAGCCUGGUGGUGGGGGGAGUUAACUCCCACACAUGUGGUCGUGGGUUCGAAUCCCACCCAGGCAU